AUGGUUUCUCACCACCGUUCCAGAUCAUUGCGCCGCCAAGCAAGUCUUCUUCAUCCCUCCUUUCGGCGUGCACCGGGAGAAGGGACAGCAGGCCUCCGGAACCCCGCCUCUCGUGAUCCUGUACGGGAGAGGGGCGAUCAGGUUUUUAGGGAGCACACUCGCGCGACUGCUGGCAGCGACGACUUCGCGAACGACGACUUCUUCCCCGACCUCGGCAACCUCAUCCUCGACGACAUGGGCGACAACGUCAACGCAUGCGGUGCUGCACCCGCUGCACCGUAUGUUAUUCUAUCCUUCUUAUUCGAGAUCGUGGUACAAUUCAUGUUUCUAGUAUGUGCCCUAGAUAUGAUCUGUUCAUCUACUAUGCUAGUUCACAUGAUUAGUUUAAUCUCUGUUAUUGCUGUCAUGAUCUAUUUCCUAUUUAUUCGGAUUAAAUCUCGUAGUAAUUCGCUCAUUUUUCCAACAAUCCAAAAACCUGAUUAUAGGCAAUUUACUUCGAGUGGUUUUGCUGCGCAUCUAAAGCCACCCGCCUUUAAGGGGGCGCAAUAUAAGAGGUGGCGCACGAGAGCAAUCUACUGGUUUCAGACCAUGGGCUGCUAUGACGCCACCAAGGGCAAGCCUGAGGGCGAUCUUAAUCCAGCUUUUGAGAAGAUCGAUACUCUCUUUAAAGACGCUCUUUUGAGUGUUCUGGAUGAUUCCAUUGUGGAUUCGUAUAUGUCGUUUGAAAACGGCAAGGACAUGUGGGUUGCGCUCGAGGCCAAGUUUGGUGACUCGGACGCCGGCAACGAGUUGUACGUCAUGAAGCAAUUCUAUGACUACAAGAUGACUGAUGAGCGCUCUGUUGUAUAG
rnacentral:rRNA from 1 species